GCCUUCGUGGUCUAGUGGUUAUGACGCUUGCCUUAUCAGCGAGAGGUCACAGGUUCGAAUCCCGUCGGAGGCA
rnacentral:tRNA from 1 species